rnacentral:lncRNA from 1 species
AUUCUCUAGUUGAAUACAUUUUUUUGCUAUAAGUUACCUUACUGAUAACUUUAUUCAAUCUGUUUAUUCUACCGAUUAAUAAACAGAGGCCAAGAGAAGAUAAUGCAUUGCCCACAGUUCACGACUAGUAAUCACAAGUGGUUAGUAUUAAGCUGAAACAUUUUGGCUUUUUCCCCAUUUUUCUACACUAGAUUGGUUGACUCUACUCUUUAUUUAACUGAUGCAUUAAUUUUAUGAGUUACAGGUGAUUGGCACUACAAGUAAUGCCAUUUUCACUCAAUUCUUUAUAAAAUUUGCCAUAUCUUUCUCCUUUCAGGUCUUUCAGCAUAACUGUGCCUUCGCAGACUGAUGACACCUGCACUCAUACAAUGAAACAUCACACAGAGUUGAUCUCAUUUUCUCAUAGGAUUGGGUAUUUCCAGGCUCAGCACUUCCUGACACAGCUGCCCCAGGGGUUCACAAGCCAACCCAGAGGACUGCUGGAAAGCCACAGGACCAAAAGGCUCUGGUUCUGCAAAUUUGCAGAUGAGGCACCUGUCAUCUACAAUUUCUCAUUCCCCCCUUAUGCAAUGAUUUGUUCAUUAUUGAAAGGAAAUAGAGGAAUAAGAGUUUAUGUAUUGGGUGGACACCCAAUUAGAAGCAAGGAUGGAAAGUAGAAACAAUGACAAAUAGUACCGGCAAUAUCUAAAUUUAAAAAAAAAAAAAACACAUUUAAUUUGAGCCAGCCCAGAGACCUGCCUAGGAUGUACAUGCACUCAUAUAUGCACACACACACACACACACAUGCACACUAUUCAGUCCUCUUGACUUAAUAUUUGCAGGCCAAAAAAAUGGUUGCUUUAUAAUUUUAACAAAUCAUCAUCUUUUAGUGACAUCCUUAUUUAGUGUCUUCUCAAGCUUUCUUUAACUAAGGAGCUCAGCUUGUGGCACAGACAUAUCCCACUAGCUUGUGAGAUGGAAUUAGUGAUAAAGACCUUGAAUUUGGAUUGAAAGGUUUCCUAUCUUUACAUUGUUGAGAAAGUCAUUAUUUUAUUGCUCAAGAAAUGGUGUCUCUCAUGGGUUUGGGAAAUCCUGUUAGCAUGCAGAGUAACGUGAUAACUUUGUUGAUCCAUUUUAUUUUUAUAAAAAAAUAUGGAGACAUUGAACUACCCAAUAUAAUCUCUAUAUUGCAAAUGGGGGACCCAAGAAUGCGAGACCUUAUGUUUCCCAAAGUCUCACUGCAGCUAGGAUUUGACCCGCAAGCUUCUAAUGUGCUCGAUACUAAUGCAUAUAAAUCAACACGUUUCCAUUAAGAACCUAUUGUAUUCUCGCACAGAAGCCAAAAAGGUAAAAGACAAAGAUCAAAAUAAAACAUGGACCUUGACAACAAGAGACCAUAAUUUAGUGGGAGAGAAAAUUGUAUAAACCAUAUCGGAAAUGUGAUAUGUGCCCACAGUGAGAUAUGUGAGAACAAAUGGCAUCGUCGUUUAGCCUGAGGGAUCUGGAGGCAGGAUGCUUAUGUGCUGGACUCUGUUCUGACACCUACCAGGUGUAUGAUGCUCUGAGCCUCAAUUUCCUUAUUUGUAAAAUAAGAUUAAUAAUCGCGACCACGCACCACACUUGUGCAGGAACCUGCUUAGAGCAGUGCCUGGCACAGAGUCCACACACGAUUAAAUGGUAGCUUUUCUUAUUCCAUGUGAAACCAGAGGCUUAAUUAAAAACGCAUGUUGCAUAAUUAGGAUCUCCACAGGCUGAGGCAUUAGCAAAGACUGGAGAAAAAAGAUGAGCAAGUUAAAGGAAUGCAACAAAAUCAUAGGGAAGUGGGGUUUUGUGGAAAUAAGAGUAGAGGAACGCAUUAAGGUCAAACCAUAAAGAACUUGGAGACACAUACUUUGAGAGUUAUUUGGAUAUUUUUUUUUGGGGGGGGGCAUUUUUUUAAAUUUAGAAAAUAAAACUGAGUUACAUCAAAUCUAAAUUUUCAGUUCAAUAUUGGCCUAGUCCCACAGCAAGUAAAAGCCAGUUCUGGAGCAGCCAGCUGUUGCUGCACACUCGACGUGAGUUAUGAGACCUGAGAUAGAGCUGAAGGAAGAGGCUUCGGAGGAAUCAUAUUUCCAAGAAGGGUGAGAUGCAGUGUCUGUUGGACACGAUGCCCAGGAAGCAGACGGGAAAGAGGAAGAGAGCUAGAUUAUUACUCCAGACCAGCUGCCCUGGGAAGAGUGAAAGGCCAAUUUCCACGAAGCUCUUAAGAAGACAACACGGGAGAUCACGUGGCGGACAAGAUGGAAUAGAGAAUGGGCAUUGGAGGAAUUUUGAUAGACUAUGUGGAGACAUUCAGAGGACAUAUGUAGUCUCAGAGAAGUCGUAUAUUCUUUGAAAUAGAGUUUUCCUGAAAUAAUGGCUAUUCCCCUGCUUAGAAACCCUUGUGGGCUUCUGAGUGUUCUCAGGAUAGAGCCCCAAACCCUGUGGGAGCAUCAACAGGUGAGGCAUGCUCUGUAUCCUCACCUGGCCUCUUUCCACUGUCAUUUUGACCAUUCAUAUCCAGGUCAUAAGCCAUUCUGCUUAAAAAAAAAUGGCAAUCCUAUGCUCCUCUCCUUCCAGAACUUUUCUCACGUUAUUCCCACCCCCUUCUCUUAAUAAGAUUUCCAGGUAGAUUUUGCUUAGAUGAUAUGUUUUCAAAGAAAGCAAUCAACCUUUGUACGUCCUGAUUAGGUGAGUUCGCCCUGUUAAAUGUUCUCUCAACACCUUAAGUAGUUUUAACUGUUUAACUACUACUUUGCAUUUUCCUGCCAUUUUUUGUGUUUCCACUUAGUAACCAUGAGGGCAUAUGUAUGCAUAUAUGGUUGAAAGUAUUAAUAAAGGCUGGAAAAAAUAUUUUCUUCAAUAUGAAUGAAUGAAUAAAUAAAUGAUUCAGUAUUUUAAGC